GACGAACGCUGGCGGCGUGCUUAACACAUGCAAGUCGAACGGGCCCGCCCCUGUUUUUGGGGGUGGGUUGAGUGGCGAACGGGUGAGUAUCACGUGAGAAACCUGCCCCCUGCUCCUGGAUAACUGCUUGAAAGGGCGGCUAAUACGGGGUGUGCCGGCUGGUCCGCAUGGGCCUGGUCGGGAUAGUUUCAUCUUCGGGUGUUUCGGUGGGGGAUGGGCUCGCGGCCUAUCAGCUUGUUGGUGGGGUGAUGGCCCACCAAGGCGGUGACGGGUAGCCGGCCUGAGAGGGUGGGCGGCCACACUGGGACUGAGACACGGCCCAGACUCCUGCGGGAGGCAGCAGUGGGGGGUAUUGCACAAUGGGCGGAAGCCUGAUGCAGCGACGUCGCGUGAGGGAUGGAGGCCUUCGGGUUGUGAACCUCUUUCUCCGGUGGUGAAGGCCCUGUCCGUUGCGGCGGGGUUGACGGUAGCCGGGGAUGAAGCGCCGGCUAACUACGUG
rnacentral:rRNA from 1 species